rnacentral:rRNA from 1 species
CUCCAAUAGCGUAUAUUUAAGUUGUUGCAGUUAAAAAGCUCGUAGUUGGACUUUGGGCCGGGCAGGUCGGUCCGCCUCACGGCGAGCACUUGCCUGCUCGACCUUCUGCCGGCGAUGCGCUCCUGGCCUUAAUUGGCCGGGUCGUGCCUCCGGCGCUGUUACUUUGAAGAAAUUAGAGUGCUCAAAGCAAGCCAUCGCUC